rnacentral:rRNA from 1 species
ACGAACGCUGGCGGCGUGCUUAACACAUGCAAGUCGAACGGAAAGGCCCUGCUUUUGUGGGGUGCUCGAGUGGCGAACGGGUGAGUAACACGUGAGUAACCUGCCCUUGACUUUGGGAUAACUUCAGGAAACUGGGGCUAAUACCGGAUAGGAGCUCCUGCUGCAUGGUGGGGGUUGGAAAGUUUCGGCGGUUGGGGAUGGACUCGCGGCUUAUCAGCUUGUUGGUGGGGUAGUGGCUUACCAAGGCUUUGACGGGUAGCCGGCCUGAGAGGGUGAUCGGCCACAUUGGGACUGAGAUACGGCCCAGACUCCUACGGGAGGCAGCAGUGGGGAAUAUUGCACAAUGGGCGGAAGCCUGAUGCAGCAACGCCGCGUGCGGGAUGACGGCCUUCGGGUUGUAAACCGCUUUCGCCUGUGACGAAGCGUGAGUGACGGUAAUGGGUAAAGAAGCACCGGCUAACUACGU